UCGAACGUCGUGAUGGUUCGACCUCGUUUGACCUCCCCCUCCUCAGCUUCUUCCAUCCCCGCCCGAAAAAAAAGACCCACGAGGCCAUGACCCCACGUCCCACGCCCACGCAGCCUCCUCAUCUCCCGCACCCCAUCGCUCCCGAUCCCGUCUCUCUCCCCGCUCCGGCGCUCCCUAGAAAAGAAUUCUCUGAAUCUCCCCUUCUCGUCCGCCCGGCAGUCGCGGUCUAGGGCUCCAGGCCGUUGGCAGUAGGAUCCAGUCCCAUCAACAACUUAUUUGUUCCUCCCUCUUAUCUGCACCACUCUAGAUCGCGUCCAACCAUGGGCGAGCUUGGCGGCGGCACGGAAGGAGAGCGCCAGUACAUCGCCGCCAGAGGGCGUACUGGGGUUGGGGCUGGUGUGCAGGUGUAGCCGUACAACUCGGCCAUCGGCCAUGGCGGAUGCGCUGGCCGCCGGGAGUGCCAGUACGCCACCAUCGGGGACGCCGUCAGGGCGGGGUUCCCUGUGCGACGGAAGGCCGGCGCCGAGUGAUGCGGUGAGUGCCAGGCUUCUAGAGGGCGCCGCGGGUAUGACAGUCGGAUGCCGGAUGAUCACACAUGCUUCUGCUCCACGGACAGGCUAGCAGGUCGUGUCCUACUACUUCGUCAGGUUCAGGUACCCUUGGCCUUGAUUGAUCUAAGAGGAAAUUGGUUGGUCAACAAUGUUUGAUUGAUCUAAUCAACCUUGAGAUGUCCUAAUUUCUGACCAGUCUUUUUUUUUUGCGAAUUAAUUUCUGACCAGUCUAUUUACUGGGAAGACUUCUCUUCUUUUAACCUGACACUUCAUCUACAGGUAUGUAGACUAUGUUUGAUUGAUCUAAGAGGUAAUUGGUUGGUCAACGAUGUUUCAGUCUAUUUACUGGUAAGGGAAGAUUUCUCUUCUUUUAAACUGAUCUAAUCACUCUUUGACCAUAGCAAAUGGAACAAAUUAAGUAGGAUGAAGACAUGAACACAAACAAGGUAGUAGACUAUAAACUGGACAAUUCCCUCAAAUUCUCCACAUUUAGCAUGUUCUCUACUCCACAUGUUGUUUAAAUCAAGCCGUGUCUAACUAGAGAUAGAACUUGUCUAUUCCAAGCUACAUUUCCUUUUAUAUACAGAAUCAUUUUUGACAUUGGUUUUUGAUCUUGCAGGACCAAAGAAACCAAUGGUGAGCACAUGAAACACAACUACCUUAUUUAUCAGUAGUUUUCUUAUGGUGCACACGGACCAAUUCAAGCAUUUUUAAGUGUUUUAUUUUUCUUCUCUUACAAAUUCAAGCAUCAAUGUGCAUGGUUUCUUUCUUCAUCUAUUUAAUCGCCAUUUGCCACUUCAAAAAGCUCUGUAGUUGCUCUGGUUCUGUUCGUGCUUCUCGUCGUUGUGCCAUUCCAGUACAUACGCAAGAGGAGGCAGUACAAGUGACUUCCUCGUCCAGGCUCCGCAAGUACAGUAACUCAGGCGGGACACCCCACUACAGUGGCAGCGACCUGGAGUUCGGCAGAGUCCACAGGCUGCAGCAGACACACCAAUUCGCAUAUGAGGAGCUGGAGGAGCCCACGGCGGCAUCAGCGACACGCGAGAGCUCGGCGGCGAGCGACGACUUCGGCACCAUGCAUGAUAACUACAGGACGGGCGGGCAGUGGUGGUGGAGCGGUUGUACGACCACAGCUGCUGGCACGUGCAGCAGUUCAUGAACUAGGCGACGAUCCUGUCACAGCUACACCACCUGAACCUCGUCAUCUUCUAAGGAUCCUGUCGCAGCUGCACCAUCUGAACCUCGUCAUCUUCCACGGCUGCACGUCCAGACGAAGCCAUGUGCUGCUGCUGGUGUACGAGUAGAUGCCCUACAACACCGUGGCCGACCACUUGCACGACCAUCGUGCGGCGGUGCUGCCACUGUCGUGGUCACUCCGCCUCAAUGUCGUCAUCGAGGCAGUUGCAACGGUAGCCUAUCUCCACCCCAUCGAGCCUUUCAUGGUGUACAGUGACGAGAAGACUACCAACAUCCUCCUCGAUGCCGAAUCCCAUGUCAAGGUGGCUGACUUUGGCCUCACCCGGCUCUUCCCGCUUGACGGCGCCACGGGGCAUACCAAGGUUAGUGGACCGGGGUAUAGUUGUGUGAACAUGAGAUUUGAGUAGACAUAGGCAAAAUGAAACACUAUAAUAGAACGUCGUGACAAUGCCAGAAGUUAGAAAUGGAAUUUCCUAUGUGGCCAAAGAAUGUAACUCCAUGGAAGAUUGGAUUUUGGAAUAAUCAUCCUAGAUAGAUGUUGUAAUGGGAGAAAAUGUUGAACCUGUAUUUUCCUAGCCCGGUUCAGUAGCUAGCUUAGCUUUCUUCAGUUAGCAGAAUAAGCGGCCGUGUCAACGUGUGCAUGUACACUAGAUAUGGCCUGGUAGUUCCAGUUAGUAGGUAGCUAGCUUGGCGCGGCCGUUGGAGUUGCAUGGGAUGGCAUGCAGCGUAGCCCGCGGCACGCGCGCAUCACCCGCAAGGCGAGCAUCGUGGGAUGGCACGACCGGUAAGCUCGCAGGCGUGGUUGAUCUCUCCCUUUAUAAGUUCAGUACAAAUAAGAGGAAUGGAAAUGAGAAAAGCUGCAACGCACUACGCAGCACAAAACCACCUGAGUCAUCUUCCUCCUCUCGACAUUGAAGCCGUGAGCUUGAGUGUGUAGGCCUUCCUGGUUCCAACAGAAAUAUUGGCCCAGUAAACACCAAUUUAGCAUUAGCCAUGCAUAUGCAUGCCUUUGAAUAUAAUUCUUGUUGCUCUCUUGUACUGUUUUGUGUUUUCAGCUGACAUGUGAAAACAAUGUAUUAUUUAAUACAUAGGUUCCAUUAUAUUUCUGAAUCUUAAUGUUAAAAAUGUCGUGUUUUAAAUUUUGCUUCACUUCUUGCUCGGUUAGUGUGCUUUAUAUCUCUGAUCUUCUAUUACCUUUUUUUGUUUCACAUUUUCACACUAUCUUGUGUAGCUUGUAUCUGAUAGCCGUCAGGGAAGGUAAUACGUCCUUUUGUCAGAUAUUGGACGAACUAAUUCCAUGUUGUUUUUCAGUAUGUGCAUCUGCAGUAAUGUUGUAUGCAGUCAGAUAUUUUACGGUGGCAGGAGGAAGAUCCUGGAUGAGUUGAACCCUUAGCAUGCAGUAGAUAUUGGAAAUUUGGAAUGCAUGCAAGUCAUAUCAGCUCAUGUAUUGGGAACAUAUACUAGGUUUUUCUGUGCGGAAGUAUUCAGAAUUUACAUUGUAUCCUUAAAGUUAUUGGUCUAACUAUCCUCUAUUUAUUUAUAUUUCAUUUUGCAAAACCAAAAGUAGAGCCAAACAUUUUACCAGCUUCGAAAAGUGGAACAUCAUAAAUUCCAAAACCAAAUUCAUGUUCUGAAAUAGAAGUUUAGGAAUGCUAGAGCAUGCAAGUUCUGUGUUAUUAACAGAAGGUUGAUUGGUCUGAUAAAUUUGCAAAUAAAAAAAUAGACAUGGAGGUGUCCGCAUAUUUGUGGUAAACCUGCUCUGAAGAAAUAUUUCUUUAUUAGUUUUCAACGUGGAGAGGGGAAUCCCUUGCUAACCUGUUUUUUCGUACUCAUUUUAUGUUGCUAAUUUUCCAGUUAAUGUACAUGAUGGAACUUGUUGGAUUUUGAGGAAUGAUGCAUCCAUCGUCAAGUUUAUUCUAUAGACUUGCUUAAAUUAAAACAAAUAUUCCAAGGCGAUGGAAGGGCGAGAUGACAGAUUUGUUAAGCGGCGGCAAGGCUACAGCAAGGGUAGAUGAAAUUGAAUGAAUGUGCAUGCGAACAGGAUGAAAGUUACCGCUUGAAGGAGGUAUGGUUGUUAAAAAGACACGAUGAGUGUGGUAGAGAAUCAAUGUAGUUGUUAUAUGGAUGGAAUCAACAUGUUGUCUUGUUUGACACACUUCUUGGAAGAACAAAAA